rnacentral:rRNA from 1 species
CAUUACUGAAGGCAUAGGGUUUUGAGACUGCGUCUUCAAUGGCGUGUGCUCGACUCUUUUACCUAUCCACACACCUUUGUGCACCCAUGGGACGAAAGUCCCCUUUUCCACAUUAAUACCUAGUUAUAUGCAUGUCUAUACUCUACGGAGUAAUGUAAUAUAUACAACUUUCAACAACGGAUCUCUUGGCUUUCGCAUCGAUGAAGAACGCAGCGAAUGUGCGAGACGUAAUGUGAAUUGCAGAAUUCAGUGAAUCAUCGAAUCUUUGAACGCAUCUUGCGCUCCUUGGUACUCCGAGGAGCAUGCCUGUUUGAGUGUCGUGAAAUACUCUCAGUUUCAAUCUUUUUGUUUGAAACUGGAUUUGAAUGCUGUCGUGAACACGGCUCAUUCUAAAUGUAUUAGCGGUCUGCCCUUGAUCACACAAUGUGAUAAUUCAUUAAAGCAUUGUUAUUGGUCAAGUGGCGACGGCUUCUAACCGUCCGAAAGGACAAUNUGAUCUCAUUUGACCUCAAAUCAGGUAGGACUACCCGCUGAACUUAAGCAUAUCAAUA